UAGGGAAUCUUCGGCAAUGGGGGGAACCCUGACCGAGCAACGCCGCGUGAGUGAAGAAGGUUUUCGGAUCGUAAAGCUCUGUUGUUAAGGAAGAACGAGUGUGAGAAUGGAAAGUUCAUACUGUGACGGUACUUAACCAGAAAGGGACGGCUAACUACGUGCCAGCAGCCGCGGUAAUACGUAGGUCCCGAGCGUUGUCCGGAUUUAUUGGGCGUAAAGCGAGCGCAGGCGGUUAGAUAAGUCUGAAGUUAAAGGCAGUGGCUCAACCAUUGUAGGCUUUGGAAACUGUUUACCUGGAGUGCAGAAGGGGAGAGUGGAAUUCCAUGUGUAGCGGUGAAAUGCGUAGAUAUAUGGAGGAACACCGGUGGCGAAAGCGGCUCUCUGGUCUGUAACUGACGCUGAGGCUCGAAAGCGUGGGGAGCGAACAGG
rnacentral:rRNA from 1 species